UGCGGGUUAAUGUAACAGUAACAUAUAUGGCUCAUGCCCAUAAAAUUUAGGUGCGAAUCCUAAGUCCGCAA
rfam:Penicillium decumbens strain IBT 11843 PENDEC_contig066, whole genome shotgun sequence.